rnacentral:rRNA from 1 species
UACGUAGGGAGCAAGCGUUUGUCCGGAAUCAUUGGGCGUAAAGCGCGCGUAGGUGGCCAUUUAAGUCCGCUGUGAAAGUCAAAGGCUCAACCUUUGAAAGCCGGUGGAUACUGGAUGGCUAGAGUACGGAAGAGGCGAGUGGAAUUCCUGGUGUAGCGGUGGAAUGCGCAGAUAUCAGGAGGAACACCAAUAGCGAAGGCAGCUCGCUGGGACGUUACUGACACUGAGGCGCGAAAGCGUGGGGAGCAAACAGG